rnacentral:lncRNA from 1 species
CGGGCGGCUUGGGGCCAGGGUGUCGGGAGGCUGUCACCUGAGGCAGCCUGACGACGGUUGGUUGCCACGGGUCACGUGCCAGCGACCGGGAAUCCUCUGGAAUGCUACAAGCGGCCCACGUGUGUUGUACAGGCCUGGACCAGGCUGUCAGUCCGUCUGUCUGGACUCUCAGCUCAGGACCACAUCCCUGAGGAUCAAGAAGAAAGUCGCCGAGGUCUGCCAUGGAAGAAGGAAGAAAGAACUCAGCCACUUCAUCCAGAACUAUAGCAAGGCAGUAUCAUCAGUGGAAACAGUUCACCUGAAGGAAGGCAUCAAGCAAGUCACAAAAUGGAAGCCUUGAACUUGAUAAGCUGGCUGUUCAGCAGAGGUAUUUCCUGUCUCUCCAGGUGUACUGUUCCUACUCAGUAGUGUGCAAACAGAGAAAAUAAAUUUGGUGA